UACGUAGGGUGCGAGCGUUGUCCGGAAUUAUUGGGCGUAAAGAGCUCGUAGGCGGUUUGUCGCGUCUGCCGUGAAAGUCCGGGGCUCGACUCCGGAUCUGCGGUGGGUACGGGCAGACUAGAGUGAUGUAGGGGAGACUGGAAUUCCUGGUGUAGCGGUGAAAUGCGCAGAUAUCAGGAGGAACACCGAUGGCGAAGGCAGGUCUCUGGGCCACUACUGACGCUGAGAAGCGAAAGCAUGGGGAGCGAACAGG
rnacentral:rRNA from 1 species